rnacentral:rRNA from 2 species
UGGCGGACGGGUGAGUAACGCGUGAGAAUCUACCAUUAGGUCGGGGACAACCAUUGGAAACGAUGGCUAAUACCGGAUAAGCCCGAGGGUAAAAGAUUAAUUGCCUAAUGAAGAGCUCGCGUCUGAUUAGCUAGUUGGUGAGGUAAAGGCUCACCAAGGCAUCGAUCAGUAGCUGGUCUGAGAGGAUGACCAGCCACACUGGGACUGAGACACGGCCCAGACUCCUACGGGAGGCAGCAGUGGGGAAUUUUCCGCAAUGGGCGAAAGCCUGACGGAGCAAGACCGCGUGAGGGAGGAAGGCUCUUGGGUUGUAAACCUCUUUUCUUGGGGAAGAACAAAAUGACGGUACCCAAGGAAUCAGCAUCGGCUAACUCCGUGCCAGCAGCCGCGGUAAUACGGAGGAUGCAAGCGUUAUCCGGAAUUAUUGGGCGUAAAGCGUCCGCAGGUGGCACUUCAAGUCUGCUGUCAAAGACCGGGGCUUAACCCUGGAAAGGCAGUGGAAACUGAAGAGCUAGAGUGUCGUAGGGGUAGAGGGAAUUCCUGGUGUAGCGGUGAAAUGCGUAGAGAUCAGGAAGAACAUCGGUGGCGAAAGCGCUCUACUGGACGACAACUGACACUCAGGGACGAAAGCUAGGGGAGCGAAUGGGAUUAGAUACCCC